UAGUGUAGAGCUGAUAAUUAGACCAUAGAGUCGCUGUUGAUUUGGUUUAUUCCUUGGCAGAUCAUUUAAGUACUUUAUCUUAUUACAAAAACUGAACGAAAAUAUAGCAGCAAUACAUUUCAUGACAUAGUGUUAUCCGUGCAAGAAAAUUGCUUGAUUGAUUAUUAAUAAAUGUAAGCAAUCUAUCAUGUAGGUUUUGUUCGAUCCUACACUUAAAGAAAAUCAUACUGAAGAUCUGAGCUUAAGUGUUCCAACAGCUGAAGCACCAGCUCAAGAUGAAAGAAUCUCUUAAUAUGAUUGUAGAUCCAUUCCCGUAAAGUGCAGUUAGAAUAUGGAAUCCACCUCGAACUCGGUUUAAAAAACAGAAAGCAUAUGGAAUUUUGCUCUAUCAGUCUGCAGUUAUUUGGUUCAUCGUCGCGCCUCAAGUUUCCAACAGCGCCGUGGCUGUACACCGUCGACUUCGCCGGAAAUCCGUCUGCACAUACUCUACUGUCCGCCGAAACUUUGUCUGACCUGAGUUAUUUGGCUCAUGGUCACGCCUCAAGUUUCCGACAGCGCCGUGGCUGUACACCGCCGACUUUGCCGGAAAUCUGUCUGCACAUACUCUACUAUCCGCUGAAACUUCGUCUGACCUGAGGUACAUACUACAGUGUCAU